rnacentral:tRNA from 1 species
CUCAGAGUAGUUUAGCUUAGAACUCCAGCUUUGGGAGUUGGGGGCGGGAGUUAGAGUCUCCUCUCUUUGA